UGAUUGAUGAUAGUUAAAAAUAGGAGC
rnacentral:sRNA from 1 species